rnacentral:misc_RNA from 1 species
AACGCACAUUGCGCCCUUUGGUAUUCCUUAGGGCAUGCCUGUUCGAGCGUCACUAAAACCAGAUCACCAAGAGUGUGGUAUUGGCAGAAGUGGGUGGGACUAUAAGGGCCCCUCCCACUCUGCUGGAAUGAAUAGGCUGGAAAAGUAGAUCAUAGCAACAGACUUUCAGAGUAUUUUGAAAUGCUAAAUUAGUUUGAAGCUGAUCGGAACCCAGGCCAUUAGACCCCCAUCCUGUGUAAAGCAGUAAGGUUGACCUCGGAUCAGGUAGGGAUACCCGCUGAACUUAA